rnacentral:rRNA from 1 species
UGGGGAAUUUUGGACAAUGGGCGAAAGCCUGAUCCAGCAAUGCCGCGUGUGUGAAGAAGGCCUUCGGGUUGUAAAGCACUUUUGUCCGGAAAGAAAUCCUUGGCUCUAAUACAGUCGGGGGAUGACGGUACCGGAAGAAUAAGCACCGGCUAACUACGUGCCAGCAGCCGCGGUAAUACGUAGGGUGCAAGCGUUAAUCGGAAUUACUGGGCGUAAAGCGUGCGCAGGCGGUUUGCUAAGACCGAUGUGAAAUCCUCGGGCUCAACCUGGGAACUGCAUUGGUGACUGGCAGGCUAGAGUAUGGCAGAGGGGGGUAGAAUUCCACGUGUAGCAGUGAAAUGCGUAGAGAUGUGGAGGAAUACCGAUGGCGAAGGCAGCCCCCUGGGCCAAUACUGACGCUCAUGCACGAAAGCGUGGGGAGCAAACAGGAUUAGAUACCCUGGUAGUCCACGCCCUAAACGAUGUCAACUAGUUGUUGGGGAUUCAUUUCCUUAGUAACGUAGCUAACGCGUGAAGUUGACCGCCUGGGGAGUACGGUCGCAAGAUUAAAACUUAAAGGAAUUGACGGGGUCAUA